rnacentral:rRNA from 1 species
GAUGAACGCUGGCGGCGUGCCUAAUACAUGCAAGUCGAGCGACCAGACGAGGAGCUUGCUGCUUUCACGUUAGCGGCGGACGGGUGAGUCACCCGUGGGUACCCUACCUAUAAGACUGGGAUAACUUCGGGAAACCGGAGCUAACACACGAUAUCAUGUUGAACCGCAUGGUUCAACAGUGCAAGACGGUCUUGCUGUCCCUUAUAGAUGGUUCCGCGCCGGAUUAGCUAGUUGGUAGGGUAACGGCUUACCAAGGCUACGAUGCGUAGCCGACCUGAGAGGGUGAUCGGCCACACUGGAACUGAGACACGGUCCAGACUCCUACGGGAGGCAGCAGUAGGGAAUCUUCGGCAAUGGGGGAAAGCCUGACGGAGCAACGCCGCGUGAGUGAAGAAGGUCUUCGGAUCGUAAAACUCUGUUAUUAGGGAAGAACAAAUGUGGAAGUAACUAUGCACGGCUUGACGGUACCGGAUCAGAAAGCCACGGCUAACUACGUG